GACGAACGCUGGCGGCGUGCUUAACACAUGCAAGUCGAACGAAGUGGCGAACGGGUGAGUAACGCGUAAUCAACCUGCCCUUCAGAGGGGGACAACAGUUGGAAACGACUGCAAAUCCCGCAUACUGAUGGAGGGGAUUGCGUUGGAUUAGCUGGUGGGUGGGGUAAAGGCCUACCAAGGCGACGAUCAGUAGCUGGUCUGAGAGGAUGAUCCGCCACACUGGAACUGAGACACGGCCCAGACUCCUACGGGAGGCAGCAGUGGGGAAUUUUGGACAAUGGGCGCAAGCCUGAUCCAGCCAUGCCGCGUGUCUGAAGAAGGCCUUCGGGUUGUAAAGUACUUUUGUCAGGGAAGCGGUACCUGAAGAAUAAGCACCGGCUAACUACGUGCCAGCAGCCGCGGUAAUAC
rnacentral:rRNA from 1 species